rnacentral:rRNA from 1 species
AAAGUUAGAUACCCUUGCUCAGUCCACGCCGUAAACGAUGUCGACUUGGAGGUUGUGCCCUUGAGGCGUGGCUUCCGGAGCUAACGCGUUAAGUCGACCGCCUGGGGAGUACGGCCGCAAGGUUAAAACUCAAAUGAAUUGACGGGGGCCCGCACAAGCGGUGGAGCAUGUGGUUUAAUUCGAUGCAACGCGAAGAACCUUACCUGGUCUUGACAUCCACGGAAGUUUUCAGAGAUGAGAAUGUGCCUUCGGGAACCGUGAGACAGGUGCUGCAUGGCUGUCGUCAGCUCGUGUUGUGAAAUGUUGGGUUAAGUCCCGCAACGAGCGCAACCCUUAUCCUUUGUUGCCAGCGGUCCGGCCGGGAACUCAAAGGAGACUGCCAGUGAUAAACUGGAGGAAGGUGGGGAUGACGUCAAGUCAUCAUGGCCCUUACGACCAGGGCUACACACGUGCUACAAUGGCGCAUACAAAGAGAAGCGACCUCGCGAGAGCAAGCGGACCUCAUAAAGUGCGUCGUAGUCCGGAUUGGAGUCUGCAACUCGACUCCAUGAAGUCGGAAUCGCUAGUAAUCGUGGAUCAGAAUGCCACGGUGAAUACGUUCCCGGGCCUUGUACACACCGCCCGUCACACCAUGGGAGUGGGUUGCAAAAGAAGUAGGUAGCUUAACCUUCGGGAGGGCGCUUACCACUUUGUGAUUCAUGACUGGGGUGAAGUCGUAACAAGGUAGCCGU